rnacentral:rRNA from 1 species
GGUUAAGUUAGAAAGGGCGCACGGUGGAUGCCUUGACACUAGGAGUCGAUGAAGGACGGGACUAACGCCGAUAUGCUUCGGGGAGCUGUAAGUAAGCUUUGAUCCGAAGAUUUCCGAAUGGGGAAACCCACCAUACGUAAUGGUAUGGUAUCCUUAUCUGAAUACAUAGGGUAAGGAAGACAGACCCAGGGAACUGAAACAUCUAAGUACCUGGAGGAAGAGAAAGCAAAUGCGAUUUCCUGAGUAGCGGCGAGCGAAACGGAACAUAGCCCAAACCAAGAGGCUUGCCUCUUGGGGUUGUAGGACAUUCUAUACGGAGUUACAAAGGAACGAGGUAGACGAAGCGACCUGGAAAGGUCCGUCGUAGAGGGUAACAACCCCGUAGUCGAAACUUCGUUCUCUCUUGAAUGUAUCCUGAGUACGGCGGAACACGUGAAAUUCCGUCGGAAUCUGGGAGGACCAUCUCCCAAGGCUAAAUACUCCCUAGUGAUCGAUAGUGAACCAGUACCGUGAGGGAAAGGUGAAAAGCACCCCGGAAGGGGAGUGAAAGAGAUCCUGAAACCGUGUGCCUACAAAUAGUCAGAGCCCGUUAACGGGUGAUGGCGUGCCUUUUGUAGAAUGAACCGGCGAGUUACGAUCCCGUGCGAGGUUAAGCUGAAGAGGCGGAGCCGCAGCGAAAGCGAGUCUGAAUAGGGCGUUUAGUACGUGGUCGUAGACCCGAAACCAGGUGAUCUACCCAUGUCCAGGGUGAAGUUCAGGUAACACUGAAUGGAGGCCCGAACCCACGCACGUUGAAAAGUGCGGGGAUGAGGUGUGGGUAGCGGAGAAAUUCCAAUCGAACCUGGAGAUAGCUGGUUCUCCCCGAAAUAGCUUUAGGGCUAGCCUUAAGUGUAAGAGUCUUGGAGGUAGAGCACUGAUUGGACUAGGGGUCCUCAUCGGAUUACCGAAUUCAGUCAAACUCCGAAUGCCAAUGACUUAUCCUUAGGAGUCAGACUGCGAGUGAUAAGAUCCGUAGUCAAAAGGGAAACAGCCCAGACCGCCAGCUAAGGUCCCAAAGUGUGUAUUAAGUGGAAAAGGAUGUGGAGUUGCUUAGACAACUAGGAUGUUGGCUUAGAAGCAGCCACCAUUUAAAGAGUGCGUAAUAGCUCACUAGUCGAGUGACUCUGCGCCGAAAAUGUACCGGGGCUAAAUACACCACCGAAGCUGCGGAUUGAUACCAAUGGUAUCAGUGGUAGGGGAGCGUUCUAAGGACAGUGAAGUCAGACCGUAAGGACUGGUGGAGUGCUUAGAAGUGAGAAUGCCGGUAUGAGUAGCGAAAGACGGGUGAGAAUCCCGUCCACCGAAUGCCUAAGGUUUCCUGAGGAAGGCUCGUCCGCUCAGGGUUAGUCAGGACCUAAGCCGAGGCCGACAGGCGUAGGCGAUGGACAACAGGUUGAUAUUCCUGUACCACCUCUUUAUCGUUUGAGCAAUGGAGGGACGCAGAAGGAUAGAAGAAGCGUGCGAUUGGUUGUGCACGUCCAAGCAGUUAGGCUGAUAAGUAGGCAAAUCCGCUUAUCGUGAAGGCUGAGCUGUGAUGGGGAAGCUCCUUAUGGAGCGAAGUCUUUGAUUCCCCGCUGCCAAGAAAAGCUUCUAGCGAGAUAAAAGGUGCCUGUACCGCAAACCGACACAGGUAGGCGAGGAGAGAAUCCUAAGGUGUGCGAGAGAACUCUGGUUAAGGAACUCGGCAAAAUGACCCCGUAACUUCGGGAGAAGGGGUGCUUUCUUAACGGAAAGCCGCAGUGAAUAGGCCCAAGCGACUGUUUAGCAAAAACACAGCUCUCUGCGAAGCCGUAAGGCGAAGUAUAGGGGGUGACACCUGCCCGGUGCUGGAAGGUUAAGGAGAGGGGUUAGCGUAAGCGAAGCUCUGAACUGAAGCCCCAGUAAACGGCGGCCGUAACUAUAACGGUCCUAAGGUAGCGAAAUUCCUUGUCGGGUAAGUUCCGACCCGCACGAAAGGUGUAACGAUUUGGGCACUGUCUCAACCAGAGACUCGGUGAAAUUAUAGUACCUGUGAAGAUGCAGGUUACCCGCGACAGGACGGAAAGACCCCGUGGAGCUUUACUGUAGCCUGAUAUUGAAUUUUGGUACAGUUUGUACAGGAUAGGCGGGAGCCAUUGAAACCGGAGCGCUAGCUUCGGUGGAGGCGCUGGUGGGAUACCGCCCUGACUGUAUUGAAAUUCUAACCUACGGGUCUUAUCGACCCGGGAGACAGUGUCAGGUGGGCAGUUUGACUGGGGCGGUCGCCUCCUAAAGUGUAACGGAGGCGCCCAAAGGUUCCCUCAGAAUGGUUGGAAAUCAUUCGUAGAGUGCAAAGGCAUAAGGGAGCUUGACUGCGAGACCUACAAGUCGAGCAGGGACGAAAGUCGGGCUUAGUGAUCCGGUGGUUCCGCAUGGAAGGGCCAUCGCUCAACGGAUAAAAGCUACCCCGGGGAUAACAGGCUUAUCUCCCCCAAGAGUCCACAUCGACGGGGAGGUUUGGCACCUCGAUGUCGGCUCAUCGCAUCCUGGGGCUGUAGUCGGUCCCAAGGGUUGGGCUGUUCGCCCAUUAAAGCGGUACGCGAGCUGGGUUCAGAACGUCGUGAGACAGUUCGGUCCCUAUCCGUCGUGGGCGUAGGAAAUUUGAGAGGAGCUGUCCUUAGUACGAGAGGACCGGGAUGGACGCACCGCUGGUGUACCAGUUGUUCUGCCAAGGGCAUAGCUGGGUAGCUAUGUGCGGAAGGGAUAAGUGCUGAAAGCAUCUAAG